rnacentral:tRNA from 1 species
GCCCUCGUAGCUCAGGGGAUAGAGCGUUGGUUUCCGGUACCAAAGGUCAGAGGUUCGAUUCCUCUCGGGGGCA